UACGUAGGUGGCAAGCGUUGUCCGGAUUUAUUGGGUUUAAAGGGUGCGUAGGCGGCCCUGUAAGUCAGUGCUGAAAUACCCCCGGCUUAACCGGGGGGGUGGCAUUGAUACUGCAGGGCUUGAGUACAGAUGAGGUAGGCGGAAUUGACGGUGUAGCGGUGAAAUGCAUAGAUAUCGUCAAGAACACCGAUAGCGAAGGCAGCUUACUGGGCUGUAACUGACGCUGAUGCACGAAAGUGUGGGGAUCAAACAGG
rnacentral:rRNA from 1 species